UACGAAGGGGGCUAGCGUUGCUCGGAAUGACUGGGCGUAAAGGGCGCGUAGGCGGCUCAUACAGUCAGAUGUGAAAUUCCUGGGCUUAACCUGGGGGCUGCAUUUGAUACGUGUGGGCUUGAGUGGGGAAGAGGGUCGUGGAAUUCCCAGUGUAGAGGUGAAAUUCGUAGAUAUUGGGAAGAACACCGGUGGCGAAGGCGACUUCCUGGCCUGUUCUUGACGCUGAGGCGCGAAAGCUAGGGUAGCAAACGGG
rnacentral:rRNA from 1 species